AUUGAACGCUGGCGGCAGGCCUAACACAUGCAAGUCGAGCGGUAGAGCGAAGCUUGCUUCUCUUGCGCGCGGCGGACGGGUGAGUAAUGCCUAGGAAUCUGCCUGGCAGUGGGGGAUAACGUUCGGAAACGGACGCUAAUACCGCAUACGUCCUACUGGAGAAAGCAGGGGACCUUCGGGCCUUGCGCUAUCAGAUGAGCCUAGGUCGGAUUAGAUAGGUGGUGGGGUAAUGGCUCACCAAGGCGACGAUCCGUAACUGGUCUGAGAGGAUGAUCAGUCACACUGGAACUGAGACACGGUCCAGACUCCUACGGGAGGCAGCAGUGGGGAAUAUUGGACAAUGGGCGAAAGCCUGAUCCAGCCAUGCCGCGUGUGUGAAGAAGGUCUUCGGAUUGUAAAGCACUUUAAGUUGGGAGGAAGGGCAGUAAAUUAAUACUUUGCUGUUUUGACGGUACCGACAGAAUAAGCACCGGCUAACUAUGUG
rnacentral:rRNA from 1 species